rnacentral:lncRNA from 1 species
AAUCUCUAGCUCGGCUUAGGUUAUAGAGGGAGGAGAUUUACGGAUAAGUUUAGCGUCGCGAUCUAUUGAAUGAAAGGCAGGAAUGAAUGGACGGAUUGCUUGAUCUAAAAUAGGAUCUAUCUUUCUUUGUUACCGUGACAGAUGCUAGGAAGAGAAAGCUUAUCAUUGUUUGGUUCCGCGGGGCCACACCCUAUCGAGAGCAGGAUGAUCACCAAAGUCAACCAUCGCGUCAGCCCUUGAGAGUAAGGGGUUUGCAAGUGACUCCUCCUCCCGACAGUACAUCAGCCCUUUUCCAGUCCCCCCUCCGCUCGGGAGAUUAGGCUUUCAGCACCUUCUUUUUCUCGCUCACAUGGCACUACAGUGUACAGGGUAUUAUGCACUUUCUCCAUAAUCAAAGCAAAAGCACUAACAAGAUGAAGGCUCGGAUUCUCGAUGCAGGGAAUACAGGGAAAACAACCCUCUGUCCCUUAAUCCUCUGAUGGGCAUGUCCCUCAGAUAGGGUAAAGAAACAAUAGGUACUUCUAACUAUGCAAUCAAUAGAAUAUCUAAAUAAACGAAAGCCACAUCAGGCCUGCACCCACAGAGCAACACUUUGGAAUAGAAAAAUCCCCCCUAGUGCAUUGGGAUGCCGUUGAAACGAAACCCGAUCAUUCACGGACACGAUCUUUAUUGCUUUCUUUCUUUACCACGUGUAUAUUGCUUUAGUGGACUCUUUUGAAUAUCAGCACGCUCUAAACCAGAUGUUGCUUGGCCCUAUUACCUUACUGCCGGUGCUUUCAUUCCUAUUGUUACAACCGCUUCCCGCUUCAUGCAGAAACCCUUAACAGCGGCUUCUUAUCCUUAAGCCUGAAGCUGUAUGCUGUGCUCUCAUUCUGUCCUCUCCUACUGCUAGCUCUCAAACAGCUCUUACCGGUAAACAGUAGCCGAAACAAUCUUCUAACAUUGGUCAAGAGGGUAGGAAGUAUCCAAGGAUAUAAAAUGAAUGUUGCUUCACUUGGAUAGAAAAGACGACAUCAGCCAUAUGUAUCAAUUGGAAAGAAAGCAGACAUCCAUCCCUUUUCAUCCUAUGCCGAUACACUGUAAGGUUCGACUAAGCAUUCACAGUAGAUAAGACGUAAGCUGGGAUUUAUAUAAUAUUCAUUCGUCCAUGACAUACUACCACCUAUUGAUAGAUCCACCUUCAUGCCUACCACCUAUUGAUAGAUCCACCUUCAUUCCCUUCUUCCUAUGGUUAGUGGAGCCUUUACCAUCUUAAUCUUAUUAUUAUUGUAUACUAUUUGGUUUGCAAUGUAGUCCCAGACCUAAUAAAUGUAAUCGCUGGACCUGCUAUUGCAUGUUUAUGAUCAGCUCUCUCAUCUUUCACUGCUAGGUUUCCGUCCGCUACGCUAGCCUAUUUCGUAGUUUCAGGUGGUUAAAUACUGCCUUCGCUUCGAUCCGUUGACCCGGGCAACCUCGCCCCUCAUCGCUUGUUCGAGAGCUAGAACAAACAACACCGGUUAGAUUCGAUUGCUAGCCAGGGGAAGGGGAUAUCCUUUCUAUUGGUAAGUUCUUAGCAGAUAUAAAAGAAAGGUGCACAAAGCUACGUGCGUGGGCUAUAAGAACUAACGCUAUAGGCUCACGCGAACUCACUCCCGGCCAUAUAAGACCAAACACUAACAUACCUGGCAGUGUCUCAUGUUUCUUUCAUCGCGUAAUACAGUCUUAAGCCAAUGUUUGAUAUAGAGUAAUACUGUCUUCCGCCAAGCUGCUAAUCCCUAGAGCUAGAGAAAUAAGAAGUCCGGGUUGGCAAAGUCAACUUCACUUCCUUAUAGCUAGAGCUAGAGAAAUAAGAAGUCCGGGUUGGCAAAGUCAACUUCCUUAUAGAUUAGCAGUUUUUACAAGAAAGGAGUUUCACUUAUACAUUCGUUUUUCAAAGAGUGGAUUAGAGGGUUAGCAUGGAAUUACUUAAGUGGAUUAGAGGGUUAGCAUGGAAUUACUUAAGAAUGAGCACGAUUACUUCAAAAUAGACUGAGCACGAGGCUUACAUACUCGGAUUGUAGGGUUCCUCAGCCCAUUACGUUCAAGCUGAGCACGCUUAUUCACAUGAGAAAGAUGAUAGCAUAGAUUAUACCUUCCAUGAGAAAGAUGAUAGCAUAGAUUAUACCUUCUUGGGACCUGCCUUAAUCCAUUUCCAUCCUUGGCUGAAACUAGAAGUGACUAUAAGCCUUUUCUUCCUAUUGUUUGAUCUUAAUGGCGAUCCCCUGAUGUUCAUGCCAUGUAGAACGAGGUAGGUAUUUACAAAUUCCGUAGCAGCUGUAAGCCCUCCUCCUUCCAUGUGGCACCGCGCUCCCGAUCUCCAAGUCUUCUCUUCGGGGUAACCCUUCCAAAAGCACGUCCUCUGACCUCUUUAAGAAACCGACAAGUAACAGCUAACCAACCUUUACUUAAAUGGAAAGGAUGAGACCAAAGUCCCAAUACCUAAAACCAAUCACACUAUAAUAUAACCUCUUCCAAAUAGGAUAUCUACAGGGGCAGUCAAAUCAGAAUGAGGGAAAGGACGGAAUCCGCAGCUAGUGGGCUAGCGCCGAAGGAUUCUCACUCUCCAAGCAAGAAAGGGCAAGCAAGGUGCUGAAAGCCUACUAAAUAGGAAUGCUGCCACUACUGAUAAGGCUGAAAUCACUACCGGAAAGAGCUGGACUGGGAACUCGGGAGCUAACUACUGAUCUGGAUCUUUGUCUGUUUGCUUUUCAACUGAUACUCAUGACAGUUAAGUUAGCCUUACACCCUUCCUUUACUUAUUUGAUUGACUUAUUUGAGAAUAUGUUUUCGUAUCUCAAUCCAGUACUGCUAUAUUAUUAGCUUUAUUCUCUAUUAGGUGUUUCUGUCUUAUUGGUAGCAUUUGCAUUCUUUAUAGCAUUGGUUUGACUCCGCUAUUAGUAGCUGGGUUCCCACUUCUUAGUGUAAGUAUUAGAAACUUAGUGUAAGUAUUAGAAACACUCUUUCCCGCUCUCUUGGUCUGUAACUCCCAACCCUGAAACUGAUACCCUUGCCUUCCAUUCUGUAGGGAACCCUCGCCAGAGGUUCUUCCAAUCAUAUCUUUGACUCUUACUUAUUCAUUUCAUUAUUCAUUUAAGUUACUCAGUUCACUUAUAUGAUAUUGAUUAGUCAGUUAUUAAGUAUAGAGGUCAACAAACAGCAAGUACUAUUUCGAUUUUAUGAUCCAAAACCU